UAGCCACUAUACCUCAAGAUCUCCAUGCC
rnacentral:piRNA from 1 species